GAUGAACGCUAGCUACAGGCUUAACACAUGCAAGUCGAGGGACCGGCGCACGGGUGAGUAACACGUAUCCAACCUGCCCUUUACUCGGGGAUAGCCUUUCGAAAGAAAGAUUAAUACCCGAUAUAAAGGCUGGGGAUGCGUUCCAUUAGGUUGUUGGUGAGGUAACGGCUCACCAAGCCUUCGAUGGAUAGGGGUUCUGAGAGGAAGGGCCCCAACAUUGGAACUGAGACACAGUCCAAACUCUGACGGGAGGCAGAAGAGAGGAAUAUGGGUCAAUGGGCGCUAGCCUGAACCAGCCAAGUAGCGUGAAGGAUGAAGGUUUAUGGGUCUUAAAUGUCUUUUAUAUAAGAAUAUGUAUUAUAUGAAUAAGGAUCGGCUAACUCCGUGCCAGCAGCCGCGGUAAUUC
rnacentral:rRNA from 1 species